GCAGGCCUAACACAUGCAAGUNCGAGCGGUAGCACAGAGAGCUNGGCUNCUCGGGUGACGAGCGGCGGACGGGUGAGUAAUGUCUGGGAAACUGCCUGAUGGAGGGGGAUAACUACUGGAAACGGUAGCUAAUACCGCAUAACGUCGCAAGACCAAAGUGGGGGACCUUCGGGCCUCAUGCCAUCAGAUGUGCCCAGAUGGGAUUAGCUAGUAGGUGGGGUAACGGCUCACCUAGGCGACGAUCCCUAGCUGGUCUGAGAGGAUGACCAGCCACACUGGAACUGAGACACGGUCCAGACUCCCUACGGGAGGGCAGCAGUGGGGGAAUAUUUGCACAAUGGGGCGCAAAGCCUGAUGCAGCCAUGCCCGCGNGNGUGAAGAAGGCCCUUUCGGGGUUGUAAAGCACUUUCAGCGGGGAGGAAAGGCGNUUAAGGUUAAUAACCUUUGUCGAUUGACGUUACCCGCAGAAAGAAGCACCGGCUAACUCCGUGCCAGCAGCCGCGGUAAUACGGAGGGUGCAAGCGUUAAUCGGAAUUACUGGGCGUAAAGCGCACGCA
rnacentral:rRNA from 1 species